rnacentral:rRNA from 1 species
UACACGCUGUGACUAGCAUAUCAAUAAGCGGAGGAAAAGAAACUAACAAGGAUUCCCCUAGUAACGGCGAGUGAAGCGGGAAGAGCUCAAAUUUGAAAUCUUAAAGGGUUUCCCUUUACGAAUUGUAGUUUAAAGAAGUGUUUUCUGUUGAGGUUUUGGUAAAAGUUCUUUGGAAUAGGACAUCAUAGAGGGUGAGAAUCCCGUAUUUGACCUUUACUUUCAACUUUGUGAUACACUUUCAAAGAGUCGGAUUGUUUGGGAAUGCAGUCCAAAAUGGGUGGUAAAUUUCAUCUAAAGCUAAAUAUUGGCGAGAGACCGAUAGCGAACAAGUACCGUGAGGGAAAGAUGAAAAGAACUUUGAAAAGAGAGUUAAACAGUACGUGAAAUUGUCAAAAGGGAAGCGUUUGACACCAGUGUCGUUUUUCUGAAAAUCAAUUAAAGAACUGUUUAUGCUAAGUUGUUUAGACUUUAUCAGCUAACUGUUUAGUUUUGAGCUUUUCUUUAAUGCACUUUUCAGUUAACAAGUCAACAUCAAUUUCUUUUGCUGUAAAAAAGCUUGAGGAAGGUGGCUUGAGAUUCGUCUUAAGUGUUUAUAGCCUCUUGCCUAUGCAGUCGGAGAGAUUGAGGUCUGCAGCGUAGAUCCUUCGGGGCUAAAUGCAUUUGUGCUAAGUUAUAGCAUUUUAUAGACAACUUGUUGACUAUGAUUUGUCUUGUAGCUUACUCGCUUAUGUUAUUUUACCUACGCUUAGGAUGUUGAAGUCAUCGUAUCGCGC